GACGAACGCUGGCGGCGUGCCUAAUACAUGCAAGUAGAACGCUGAAGAGAGGAGCUUGCUCUUCUUGGAUGAGUUGCGAACGGGUGAGUAACGCGUAGGUAACCUGCCUUGUAGCGGGGAUAACUAUUGGAAACGAUAGCUAAUACCGCAUAACAAUGGAUGACACAUGUCAUUUAUUUGAAAGGGGCAAUUGCUCCACUACAAGAUGGACCUGCGUUGUAUUAGCUAGUAGGUGAGGUAACGGCUCACCUAGGCGACGAUACAUAGCCGACCUGAGAGGGUGAUCGGCCACACUGGGACUGAGACACGGCCCAGACUCCUACGGGAGGCAGCAGUAGGGAAUCUUCGGCAAUGGGGGCAACCCUGACCGAGCAACGCCGCGUGAGUGAAGAAGGGUUUCGGAUCGUAAAGCUCUGUUGUAAGUCAAGAACGAGUGUGAGAGUGGAAAGUUCACACUGUGACGGUAGCUUACCAGAAAGGGACGGCUAACUACGUG
rnacentral:rRNA from 1 species